rnacentral:lncRNA from 10 species
UCUUCAUAUAAUGCUAGACAGAAGAAUUCUCAGUUACUUCUUUGUGUUGUGUGUAUUCAACUCACAGAGUUGAACCUUCCUUUAGACAGACCAGAUUUGAAACACUCUUUUUGUGGAAUUUUCAAGUGGAGAUUUCAAUCGCUUUGAGGCCAAAGGAAGAAAAGGAAAUAUCUUCGUAUAAAAACUAGACAGAAUCAUUCUCAGAAACUACUUUGUGAUGUGUGCGUUCAACUCACAGAGUUUAAGCUUUCUUUUCAUAGAGCAGUUUGGAAACACUCUGUUUGUAAAGUCUGCAAGUGGAUAUUUGGACCUCUUUGA